GAAAUUGAAGCUUUGACGUCGAAAUCGAGCCUUGCCGGAUUCUGCAAAAUUCUGGAAUUUUUCCGACCACCGAAGCUUUCGAUCGGUAUAUCUCGAGCUACAGACCAUAUUUUUCUGUGAUUCUUGAACCAGUGAGUUCUUCUUGAGUUUCUUAACAACUCUUCAGAAGGAAUCGAAGCCUUAAAUUGACGUUUUUACGUCGAAUUGGAGCUCGCCGUUUUCUGCAGUUUCUCGCCGGUUUCUGGAAAAUUCCGGCCACCUUCAUACUGUUCAAGGUGAUCGACGGUUUGAUUUGGCGGACGAUUCGUGAAAUUGUAUUUUGAGCUGUUAAGAAGACGCAGCGGGAAUUUAGAGGUGAGUAAACCUCACUGUGCUCAUUUGGUUCAUAUUACGAACCGAAUAAAUUUAAUUACUUUAUUUGUCGCAAUUGUGUGAAAAUAUUUGUGGAAUAAAUAUUUGUUUUAAAAUCAUAUGGACUUGAUCAACUACGGUCCAUAGGUAAGUAAAACGAUUUUAAUUAUACAAAAUGAAUUUCUUGGUUUUAUUGCAUGUGAACUAUAGUUGGUAUUA